CGUGACUAUUUUGAAGCACAAUUAUAUUUGUGGAGGUUCGCGAAAGCAGCUGCUCACUCGAAGGUCGAAUGCUUUUCCAGUUUGACUGCGCUCAUAACUAAUGUGCUUGCACACUGUGGGUUUGUGUUCACGCAAACUCAACACAACCCUGCCUGCUCUUUCCUCUUGCAUCAAAGUGUCCUGCGAUGUAUGGGUGAUUAGUGGAUUCAUUUUCCCCUCUUAAGAGCGGGAGAAAGAAAGCAAACUUGUGUAAUGUGGAUUUGACCACACUCACACACCUCAAGGCAGGAAGUACAUCACCUAGAUGAUGUAUGCGUUUUGAGCCCCCUUGUUUCUUGUCUUUUUGCCCUUGCUACAACCCUAUCUUUCUUCUCUUGUCUUAUUGAAAUCCACCUUGCCUGCCCCCUCCAGUGCUUCAGGUGAUUUGUAAUUGAUACCCACCCCUCACCUCCUCCUCCCGGGAAAAUUCUAUUCUUCCUCUGUGUAUAGGUGCUCUAUUCCCAGAAUGUUACAUCUGUCACGCUACUUUUGCUGGUGUAUAUGGGUGUGCCCCAGGCUAGCAGCCAUUCCCAGAACGGCAUAUGUCCCUCCAUUGUUUACAGCUGCAUUUGGUUAGCGACGACACACUGAUGUCAUGUCAUUCUUCUCCCUCUACAGUCCACUGGGCGCCCGCCCUCCUUCCUUUAAGCUUUUCAGGGUGGCGCAGGGUUAUCAAGUGGCAGCUCCGGAGAAGAAAGAAAGACGUGCCUCUAUAUCAAGUAGCACCCAGGAUGUGUGAUGUCCCUCCAAGCACCUUGGCUGUACUUUGACAUGAAGCUCGUCCAAGUUAGCCAGCCUCUACUGACCCCAUCAGGUUGGAUUUGGGAUGUGCAGGAGCAAGACAGCGCUGUGGAUGAGUGGUGACAGGUGGCAGCGAUAGGUCGGGAAGGGACUCUGUCUUCAGGCACAUGCAAAACAAUCGGCUGUUAUCGUAGACGAUGUCUGUAAGAGACGACAAUAUCGCUUAUCAUUAAAGCUUCUGACUUGAGGGCAACUUACAGAUUCUCACUGGGCCUCCGUGUAUUCGGUGGGUGUCAUCCAUGUAUUAGGUGGGUGUCAAUUUCAAGUAUCAAGCAGAGAAUCUGUUAACACGCUAAACAUGUUGCUCUUAACUAAGUGCGAGUGAUAGCUUCUGCCACUUCUCCUUCAGGGAUGCAGCCUCGGUCUGUCAGUGGUGAUGAUAAGACGCUUGAUAAUGGAUAAGAGGUGAUGUAACAAUACCGAGUCCCCUUAACUCGUUCACAAGUUGAGAUAAUCUGGCGGACAGUGGGCCGGCUAAUAGUCGAGGGUCCUUCUCACAUGCUGCCACAUCCCAGAGGAAGCUGGAUUCAAUGGAAAAGAGGAUGACCUUUGACCUGUGGCGCUGAAAAGCUGCUGUUGACAGAUAUAGCAUACCUGUGAGAAUGUUUGCCUUGUCUGCAGGGGGUAUCUGGACUGCACUGUGGACCAAUUCCUGUACUGUGCUCUGCCGGAUUUGCCGUCCGUCCAGAAAAGGAACAACUUCGCCCUUAGACAAACAUGAAUUGUGUAACCCGCUCACAGGGGCCGCAAGCGCGCACCGCCUGUUACACACAAUGUGCUCAGUGUGCUGCAUCUUCCACACGGAUACUUGAACCACGUGCGGUCCUCCAUGCCUCAGGACACAGCCGGAGGAUACAGCUCGGCUUUGGCGUGUCAUCGAGCCAUUCAGGAUGCGUUCAGUGGUCUCUUUCCCUGUGUUGGCUGACCCCAAACUCUGACACAAUUCAACGGACUAUUAAUACAUCACUGAAGAGGACAAAUGCUACAAUGGUGGUCAGUGAUGUGAGAUGUAGAUUUUUUUUUUUUGGUCACUUUUAGAUGUACAGUAAAUAAAUCACAAUUCAGUCUGUCUUUUGUUAGAGCAAUUUAUUUAAAAAGGAAACUUCUUCAAGGAAGCUCUGGAUUCUAAGAGCUGAGAGCUUGUCUCAACUUCGUUUAAUUGUUAAGAAGGCCACAACAUUACUGUAGGGACAUAAAAAAAAAAAAAAAAGCAAAUGAGCUCCUAUAGAAGAGCUGGACACAAAAUUCUAAAAGUUUCGAUUGAGACUGUCAUGGAGACAAAGGAAAUGAAAUAUCACAACUACCCUUCAGUAUAAUGCAAUGCGGUUGUACUACACCACUACUAACUAUGAUGAGAAAUGUUUUUCCAAGUAAUACCUCUCAGAAUUUUUGAUACAACUUGCACUCUCUCUUGUUUUGUUGUGGCAGUGUCUGCUAUCAGUUCAUCA